GCAGACGUCCCUUCCCCAGCCAGGCUGCCACCUCGCAGUUCAAUCUCAGACUGCUGUGCUAGCAGUGGGGAAGGCUCCGUGGGCAUGGAAACUGCCGAGCCAGGCACAGUAGAGAAUCACCUUGUCUGCCGGUUGCUAAGACCUUUGGAAAAGUGCAGUAUUUGGGUGAGAGUGUCCUAUUUUUCCAGGUACAGUCUGUCACGUCUUCCCUUGGCUAGGAAAGGGAAAUCCCCCGACCCCUUACACUUUCCGGGUGAGGCAACGCCCCACUCUGCUUCAGCUCACCCUCCAUGGGCUGCACUCACCUUCCAACCAGUCUCAAUGAGAUGAACCAGGUACCUCAGUUGGAAAUGCAGAAAUCACCCGUCUUCUGCGUCAAUCACGCUGAGAACUGCAGACCAGAGCUGUUCCUAUUUGGCCAUCUUGGAACCGGUCUGAGUCUGUUUUAGCCAGAUCAAGUACUUGUCAGUAAAGAUUGGAAGAGGUAACUCCUUUUUCAAAUGCGAAGAUAGUAGUGAAAGACUUCAAAGAAUGCAAAAAAUCAAGGACACAUGACUUCACUAAAGGAACACGAUAAUAUAUCAGUAACCAUCCCAAAGAAAUGGAGAUCUAUAAAUUGCCUGAUGAAGGAUUCAAAAUAAUUGUUCUAAGGAACCCCAGCAAACUACAAGAGAAAACAGACAACUCAGUGAACUCAGAAAAAAUACAUGAACAAAAUUAGAAGUUCAAUAAAGUGAUAGAAAUUAUAAAAAAGAUACAAGCAGAAAUUCUGGAACUGAAUAAUAUAAUUAAAUGAAAAAUUCAAUAGAGAGCUUCAGACGCAGACUUAAGCAGAAGAAAAAAUCUCUGAGCACAGACAGAUUAGAUAAAAUUAUCCAG
rnacentral:lncRNA from 1 species